rnacentral:tRNA from 1 species
UAAGGAUUACAGCUCAGUGGUAAAGUUCCUGCCUUUCUUGCAUGAAGCCCUGGAUUCAAUUCCCAGUACCUCAA